AUUGAACGCUGGCGGCAGGCUUAACACAUGCAAGUCGAGCGGUAGCACAGGGGAGCUUGCUCCCUGGGUGACGAGCGGCGGACGGGUGAGUAAUGUCUGGGUAACUGCCUGAUGGAGGGGGAUAACUACUGGAAACGGUAGCUAAUACCGCAUAACGUCGCAAGACCAAAGAGGGGGACCUUCGGGCCUCUUGCCAUCAGAUGUGCACAGAUGGGCUUAGCUAGUAGGUGGGGUAAUGGCUCACCUAGGCGACGAUCCCUAGCUGGUCUGAGAGGAUGACCAGCCACACUGGAACUGUGACACGGUCCAGACUCCUACGGGAGGCAGCAGUGGGGAAUAUUGCACAAUGGGCGCAAGCCUGAUGCAGCCAUGCCGCGUGUGUGAAGAAGGCCUUCGGGUUGUAAAGCACUUUCAGCGAGGAGGAAGGUGGUGAACUUAAUACGCUCAUCAAUUGACGUUACUCGCAGAAGAAGCACCGGCUAACUCCGUGCCAGCCGCCGCGGUAA
rnacentral:rRNA from 1 species